AUUUUAAUUAAUUUCUUUAUUAAUCAAUAAAUGAGCUCAUUGGAAUUACAUGAGAGGGGGAGGGGGGCUGUGAGUCCCCCCAUUGUCUCUCGGGGGGUCUCUGAGACCAUUUUUGGGGUCAUUUUCCAGUUUUUUGGGGUCAUUUUUCAGCUAUUUGAGGUUGGUUUUGGAGCUUUUGCAGUUAUUUCCCAAUUUUGGGUUGAACUUCUCACUUUUAUUGUGCUUUUCUGUCAUUUUUGGGGGGCUUUUCCUGCUUUUUUGGGGCCAAUUUCCUGCUUUUAAAAGCUCUUUUCCAUCUUGGGGGCAAUUUCCAGCUCUUUGAGGUUGAUUUUCCAUUUUUAGUGGUGUUUUCCCAUUUUUAUUAGUAUUUUCUAGCUUUUUGGGGUGCUUCUCCAGCUUUUAGGGUUCAUUUCCAGCUCAUGAGUUUGAUUUCCUCUUUUUGGUGUUGAUUUCCAGCUUUUUGGGAUUGUUUUCCUCUUUGGGACAGAAUUCUCAGGUUUUGGGGUGAUUUUCCAGCUUUUUGGGUGCUGGUUAGCCUUUUGAGUCCUAUUUCCAGCUUUUUGGGGUUGACUCCCACAUUUUCAGGGUUGUUUCCAGUAUUUUGAUGUGUUUCUCCAGCAUUUGGAGUUAAUUUCCCUCAUUUUGGGAUCCAUUUCCUGCCUUUUACAUUUGAUUUCCUUCUUUUUGAGUUGAUUUCAUGAACUUUCUGAGGUUGUUUUCCACUUCUUUGGAUUCAUUUCCCUUUUUUAGGCUUGCUUUUCAUCUUUUAGUGUAAAUUCCUCAUUUUCAGGAUCAAUUUCCCCACAUUUGGGGUUAUUCCCCACAUUUUUGAGGUCGAUUUCCUCCUUUUUAGAGCCAAUUUCCCUAUUUUGUUGCCAAUUUUUCUCUCGCCUCUCAUUUCACCCCCAUAUAUUUUGCAUACCAUGAUUUUCCCACCUCUCCUAACCCUUUUCCCCAUUAUUUCCUGGUUUUCUCCAUUUUUUUCCCAUUCUUUCCCCUUUUUUUCCUGUUUUUUUCCAUCCUUUCCCAUUUUUUUCCUGUUUUUUUCCCAUUCCUUCCCCUUUUUUUCCAGUUUUUCCCGUUACUUCUCUUUUUUUUCCUCCUUUUUCUCAUUUUUUCCCAUUUUCCCCUUUUUUUCCAGGCCGUUCCUGCCAUGGGCUCCGGCCCCAUCGACCCCAAGGAGCUCCUCAAGGGCCUCGAUUGUUUCCUGGGCCGGGAUGGGGAGGUCAAAACCAUGGAUGGCAUCUCCAAAAUAUUCAGCCUCAUGAAGGACUCCCAGAAGAUGGUGAGUCGCUGCAUCUACCUGAACAUCCUCCUGCAGACCCGGGCCCAGGACAUCCUGGCCAAGUAAGCACAUGGAAAAAUGGGAUUUUUGAGGGGAUUUUGGGGAAAUUUGGGUGGAUUUUGAGGUCUU
ensembl:lncRNA